rnacentral:rRNA from 1 species
CCUACGGGAGGCAGCAGUGAGGAAUAUUGGUCAAUGGCCGAGAGCCUGAACCAGCCAAGUCGCGUGAGGGAAGACGGCCCUACGGGUUGUAAACCUCUUUUGUCGGGGAGCAAAGCGAACCACGUGUGGUUCAUUGAGAGUACCCGAAGAAAAAGCAUCGGCUAACUCCGUGCCAGCAGCCGCGGUAAUACGGAGGAUGCGAGCGUUAUCCGGAUUUAUUGGGUUUAAAGGGUGCGCAGGCGGAGGUGCAAGUCAGCGGUCAAAUGGCGGGGCUCAACCCCGUACUGCCGUUGAAACUGCAUGCCUUGAGUGCGCGAGAAGUAUGCGGAAUGCGUGGUGUAGCGGUGAAAUGCAUAGAUAUCACGCAGAACUCCGAUUGCGAAGGCAGCAUACCGGCGCGCAACUGACGCUCAUGCACGAAAGCGUGGGUAUCGAACAGGAUUAGAUACCCGGGUAGUC